rnacentral:tRNA from 1 species
GCUGUGAUGGCCAAGUGGUUAAGGCGUUGGACUAGCAAUCCAAUGGGGUCUCCCUGCACAGGUUCAAAUACUGUUCACAGCG